rnacentral:rRNA from 1 species
CAGUCGCCGCGGUAAUACGAAGGGUGCAAGCGUUACUCGGAAUUACUGGGCGUAAAGCGUGCGUAGGUGGUGGUUUAAGUCCGUUGUGAAAGCCCUGGGCUCAACCUGGGAAUUGCAGUGGAUACUGGGUCACUAGAGUGUGGUAGAGGAUAGUGGAAUUUCCGGUGUAGCAGUGAAAUGCGUAGAGAUCUGGAGGAAUACCGAUGGCGAAGGCAGCCAUCUGGCCUAACACUGACGCUGAGGUACGAAAGCAUGGGGAGCAAACAGGAUUAGAUACCCGUGUAGUCCCUGUCUCUUAUAC